rnacentral:rRNA from 1 species
ACACUCCUGCGGGAGGCAGCAGUGAGGAAUAUUGGACAAUGGGUGGAAGCCUGAUCCAGCCAUCCCGCGUGCAGGAAGACGGCCCUAUGGGUUGUAAACUGCUUUUAUCUGGGGAUAAACCUACUUACGUGUAAGUAGCUGAAGGUACCAGAAGAAUAAGCACCGGCUAACUCCGUGCCAGCAGCCGCGGUAAUACGGAGGGUGCAAGCGUUAUCCGGAUUUAUUGGGUUUAAAGGGUCCGUAGGCGGACUGAUAAGUCAGUGGUGAAAUCCGACAGCUUAACUGUCGAACUGCCAUUGAUACUGUUAGUCUUGAGUAAGGUUGAAGUGGCUGGAAUAAGUAGUGUAGCGGUGAAAUGCAUAGAUAUUACUUAGAACACCAAUUGCGAAGGCAGGUCACUAAGUCUUAACUGACGCUGAUGGACGAAAGCGUGGGGAGCGAACAGGAUUAGAAACCCCAGUAGUCC